CCCUCUCCCCCUUCGCGGCCCCCCCGCUCCGUCCCCGUCCCCGCCUCCGCCCCUCCUCGCCCCCCACCCCGCUGCGCUCUGCGGGACCCGGCCCUGCGCGGGGCUCGGAGCGGCGAGGGGGGCUCGGCGGAGCGCGGUUGAAGAGGGGAACCGAUGCGGGGAUGCGGGGAUCGGGGGGGCAAUAGGGAGCGCAUUGACGGACCCCCACCCCGGGACCCCUUUUCCUGCGCGCUCCUCCCAUCCCUGCCCGCUCGGCGCCGGGGGGGCCGAUGGAGCCGCCGCCCCCCGCCCUGGGGACCCCGCUGCUGUGCCCGGCUGCAGGGGCAGCGCGACGCCCGUGGCUGCGGCCGCCCCAUCCCCCGCCGCGCCCCACAUCCCCGCUCCUUUUCUCCCCGGGGUUUCGUUCCGCCCUCCCACAACUGUUUCUGAUUACACAGCACUUCGGAGCGCGAACCCUUCCCGGUCCGGAUCGGCGCUGUCGGUGCUUUCCCGUUCCUCCGCCGCUCUCCCGUCGUCCCCACGCGGCCCCGCCGUGGGGUGGUCGCUCCAUCUCCGCACCCGGAGACGCCGAGCCCCCCCACCCCGACCCUACGGCUGAGAACGGGCCGCUCAUCACACCGAGUCGGUGCUGCCAGCUGAGCCCGGGCACCCGCGAGGCCACGCGUGGAGCGGAGCCCCGCAGUCAGCUCCGACUGAGUGCCCCCCCGCCCCCACCCCGGCCCUGGCAGCGGGGGAUGGUGGGCCACGCGUGGGGGGCCCUCCCUGUGCAGUGCCCGGGAGCGUGGGGACCCCCGUGGCACCGCCGUGCCCCCCUGAGGGGUGGCUAUGAGGGUCACCGCACCGAGGGGGCUCUGAGCGUGCCGCGCUGUGGGCGCCCCCCCCCGCUGCACCCCCCCGCUGCACCCCCCUGCUGCACCCCCCCGCUGCACCCCCCUGCUGCACCCCCCCGCUGCACCCCCCUGCUGCACUCCCCCUCUGCACCCCCCUGCUGCACCCCCCUGCAGCACGGCACGAAGCCCCGGGGCAGUGUGGGAUGCCGGAGCCAGGCACCGCGGUGCCCAGGGGAGCCCGGAGCCACAGCAGAGGGGGCCCUGGGGGGGAAUUGGGCACCACGUGGGGCAGAGCCCACAUGCUGGGCACUGAGGUGGGUGUCUGCACGCGUGCUGCCCCUGCCUGUGCCCCCAGGUGGGUCUGGGGGAGUGAGAGGAUAGCCAGGGCUCCCCACAGACCCUUCCCAGCCCUCGGUGUGUGCAGGGAGCUGAGCUGAGCUGUGAUGUCUCAUGGGGCUGAGCUGCAGCCCCGUUUGUUUUCCCUUGCCGCAGCCAAGCUCCCCCCCAAAGCCCUGUCACCCCCAGCCCCGUCCUGCCCCCACGCACGAUCCUCCGAGGAGCCGCUGCUGCCAUCUGCCCAUGACCUCAUUUUCCACCCCAAAAGGCCAUUCCUGGGCCUGACCUUCACUUGUGGUUUAUUAGGGCCGUUACAGCCUCCAGCAGCUGGGCUGGGCUCCUGCUGGCCUCGUGGCCAACGGCACCCUUUGGUGGCCAGGAGAGCUGAGGGGGCUCUGUGUCCAGCAGCAAUGGGGUCGUGUGUGGCCAAGAACCCCAGGCUCACGGCUGAAAGCCGGGCAUGGCCAGGAAUGCCGGAUGCCCCCCCAGCCACAACAGCGACAGCUGGCACGCCGGACCACAGCUUUAUUUGCGUCCAUUUGGGCCGGAUCGCGGGAGGGGCUCGCAGUGCUCGGAGGCAGCGCCGGCAGUGCCCACAGCGCAGGGGACGCACACGGACCAUGGAGCUGCGCCACGUGAACCAGGUGAUGCUGGAGGUGCUGGCGUGCAUCGUCCUGGCCUACCACCUGUCCCAGGCCAACGUCUUCUUCUUCUACCUGCUGCUGCUCCUGCCCCUCAUCUUCCUCUUCGAGGAGCCCAUUGGGACGUGACGAUGGCUGCGGUCCCACUCACCGUGCAAUAGAGAUGAGUGCCCGUC